CGUGUAGGCGGCCGGCCAAGUCGGAUGUGAAAGCCCUCGGCUCAACCGAGGAAGUGCGUUCGAUACUAGCUGGCAUGAGUACCGGAGAGGGUGGUGGAAUUCCCGGUGUAGAGGUGAAAUUCGUAGAUAUCGGGAGGAACACCAGUGGCGAAGGCGACCACCUGGACGGAUACUGACGCUGAGACGCGAAAGCGUGGGGAGCAAACA
rnacentral:rRNA from 1 species